CCUACGUGAGUCAGCAGUGAGGAAUAUUGGUCAAUGGGCGCGAGCCUGAACCAGCCAAGUCGCGUGAGGGAAGACGGUCCUAUGGAUUGUAAACCUCUUUUGUCGGGGAGCAAAAGACUCCACGCGUGGCGUUCCGAGAGUACCCUAAGAAAAAGCAUCGGCUAACUCCGUGCCAGCAGCCGCGGUAAUACGGAGGAUGCGAGCGUUCUCCGGAUUUAUUGUGUUUAAAGGGUGCGCAGGCGGAAGAUCAAGUCAGCGGUAAAAUUGAGAGGCUCAACCUCUCAGAGCCGUUGAAACUGGUUUUCUUGAGUGAGCGAGAAGUAUGCGGAAUGCGUGGUGUAGCGGUGAAAUGCAUAGAUAUCACGCAGAACUCCGAUUGCGAAGGCAGCAUACCGGCGCUCAACUGACGCUCAUGCACGAAAGUGUGGGUAUCGAACAGGAUUAGAUACCCUGGUAGUC
rnacentral:rRNA from 1 species